AUGGUGUGUUUGUUGUGCGUGCCUAUCCUGUGUUUCUGUUGUGUGUGUUCGUUCCCCUUGCUUCAGCCACUUCCGGGUCCGGAGUCGCUCCGGAAGCCCCAAGUUCCGGAAGUAUGCCCCCCGGGGAGCCAAGCCAGCUGCGUCUCUUCGGUGUCCGCGCGUGUGCGUGCGGUGAUUGACAGCCGGCAGGCCAAUCGCCUUGUCCUCCCUCGCUUGGGGCGUUGCUCAUUUUCGGCCGUUCGCGAGUUCUGGCCUGCGCGGUUACCCCUGUGGACCGGCUUCCUCUUUUCAGAUUCAUUGUGAUGCUCUAGCCUAUGGUGUUCCAGUAAUGAAGCUAAAAUGUGGAUGUUUUUCUAUUGAAUGCCAAUGCAGUGCCCUUUUACAAUAAACUGUACCAGAAUCACUGCCCUUCA
rnacentral:lncRNA from 1 species